AAGGAAUAUUGUAAUUGAAAGAAGCUGCUAACUAUCUUUAAUAAUGGUUAAAUUCCAUUUUUUCCUUA
rnacentral:tRNA from 1 species